rnacentral:rRNA from 1 species
GCAAGUCGAACGUGAAGGUUGAAAUGAUUAAUUCGGUUUGAUUUUCGGCUGGAAAGUGGCGAACGGGUGAGUAACACGUGGGUAACCUGCCUCGAAGCGGGGGACAACCAUUGGAAACGAUGGCUAAUACCGCAUAGUCCCAUUUUUGCGAGAGCCAUUAUGGGUAAAACUCCGGUGCUUCGAGAGGAGCCUGCGUCCGAUUAGCUAGUUGGUGGGGUAAAAGCCCACCAAGGCGACGAUCGGUAGCUGGUCUGAGAGGACGAUC